GAGCAAUGAUGAAAGUUACGCUCUUGUGGUGAUUGGGUCGCCACAGUUUGCCCGAUCUUAAACGGACGAUAAUCAGCGUCUCUGAGUUC